ACAUUGGCUAAGACAAACUGUUAACUGUUACCUAAAGAAGAGAACAAACGAGAGAAGAGAAAACGCAAAGAGCCUGCAUGGCUUGGGUUUGAGGAAAAGUUUGGACAACUUUUGAGAGAGAGGAAGAGUGAUUUUGAACCACACAGCUGGACUGGGUGAGUGUAGUUUAUGGAAAAUAGAUGAGAGAAGAGGAUUCCUAGUAAGUUUUGGGAUGUGGAUGCAAUGUGAACAUAAAAGAUUGCCUUCUUAUGGAAACUGCAGCUAAGUACAGAGCUGCAAUGUAUCCAGGAGUCCUCACACUUCUUUGCAGCUGGGGGUGCCCAUAUGAGCUAAGACAAGCCAAUGAAAUGUAAGUGGAAGUCUGUGAGGAGGGGUCCUGGGAAAGUGGCUGUUUUCCUGUUAAAAGGAGCUGGCCAAGCCAGCAAUCAUUUAUGUCUUUUGCUCGUUGCCCUUCCUCCUCCUUUUGCCAGUUUAUGCUUAAGGUGGAAUAGCCAUUUUCUGACCAUGGAGAAACAAUGUACACACUAAGGUUGACUGAAAGGGGAGCUAAAAGGAUCCUAGACUUUUCAUUAUGUGAAAUAACCGGUUGUGCCUACCUGUGCUCUUUUUAUUAAGUGAGUAAAACAACUCCCUAUUUAGCAAAAUCAUUAUAGUUGAGUUUCUAUUACUCAUUGAGGCCAAAUUGCAAACCUAACCUAAUAGGUGUUUCUCUUGAAAGGAAACCUUCCCAAGGUAAUCUGGAAAAUAGGCUGGAGUUAGACUGAAGUCUCCAUUAAUGUGGGAGGAAAAUAACUAUCAAGUAUCAAAGUUCUAACUACAUGGUCUGGAGUUACUUGAGAUAUUUUCCAUUUCUUUUGAGCCCCAAACUGCAUAUAUCAGGUUUUGUAAGCUUAUGAUAGUUCUUUUAGUUUUUAUAGUGUAGCAUUUCACAUUUAAAAAUGUAUUUAUUGUGAUUGUGACCAAACAACAGAAAUGUGUAAAGUAAAAAAAAAAAAAAAAUCUGCUUCCUACCUCUGCUGCUUCAAGUACUACUCCCCAGGAGUCACUAUUAAUAGUUUUGGUGUCUGUUCUUCCAGGCAUUUUCAAUGCAUGAAUAAUCAUCGGUAACUUUCAUAAAAGUUAAGAAAUUAGACAUUACUUGUUGCUGUAAAUAUCCCAAUUAUUUGAUAUCAGUGAACCUCAGCUUAACACUUUGAUAUUUUUCUAAAGCAUUCCAACCUUUCAUGAGGCUUGUACCUUGAGUUUCUGGGAGAGUCUCUAUGUACAAGUCAAACGCCAUAGGAGAAUCAAACAACUGUCUCUGGGGGGAAAUACAUUCUGAAGAAUAGCUAGAGCUCUUCAUGUUUACCUUUUAUCUCUUUUAGUUUUGGAUUGCAUGCAAGUCUGAAAAAAUGUUCACUUGGGCUGGGAGUGCCUGGCCUGACCCACUCCUGUUUUCAAGUACUGCCAGCUGUGGGCAGUGGCUGGGCUAAUUAUAAAUCACAGGGUCAAAGAGGAAGUUAGUCUCUCACUGAAACUGUACUAGAACAAAACCAGAUUUUUCUUAAAAUCAACAAAGGAAAAGGAUUCUAAUACACUUUAAUUUCUGUUAGUUUUAUAUUCUAUGGGUGCUUAGUUUUAUAUUCAAUGGGUGCUAUUUUGUGGACUUAAUAGCUAGUAGUGUCAUAAUAUAAAUAGCUUUUAUAAUAUUUGUUAAAAUCUGAACAACUUGUGCGCAUUCCACUGCAAACUCCUCUUCGGUCAAAGGCCAUGCCUCACAUAUUUUGUGUCCAGUCAGAUCAAACUACAGUGACAAGCCUCACCAUCACAGACAGCUUCCAAUUAGAUUUAUAGCAGCCCAUGCUUAAAUAUAAGCAGAUAGCCAAGAAUUACCAUAUAUUGGAGGAAAGUUUCUAAAAAGAAAGAGACAAAAACAAAAAAAGAAAAAUACAGAAAAAACACGGAGAAAAAGUCUUAUUUAGGAAAAGAAGAAGAAAAAGAAACCAUCAUUAAUAGCCUCAAUGAGAUAAGAGAUUAAAGAUACUAUGAAAAAGAAACAUCCAGAGAACAAAGAGAGCACAAGGAAAUAUAAAGUAUGAUAGCAUAAUGAAAGAGUAGAAGGGUUGAAAGGAAAACUUGAGGAAAUUUCUCUUUUAGCAAGUCAAAUGACAAAAAAGAAAGGAAAAUAAAAGAAAAAAGAAAAUUAGAGGACUGUUUUAGAAGGUCCAACAUCUGCGUAAAAGGAAUCCAAGACAGAAUAGAGAAAAUCAAAUGGACAAAAUUAAAUAAUCCAAGACAAAGUAUCAGAACUUUGGAAGGACAUAUACUUCCAUAGACAGAGAACCCAUUCAGUGCCCCACACGAUGGAUACAAUGGGAACAUCAUUGUAAAAUGUAAAAAUUCUGGAGGCAAGUAAGAGAUCCUACAAAUUUCCCAGCAUGGAAAAAAAAAUGGCUUCAAAUAAAGGAUCAAUAUUUAGAAUGACAUCAAAUCUUCUUCAUAGUGAAGCUAGAAGGCAGUUAAUCUAAUGCCUUUUUCCUGAGGGAAAAUGAUUUCCAACCUAAAAUUCCAUAUCCAAUUAAAGCACUAAUUGUCUGUAUGGCUAGUGUGAGGGUAAAAUAUUUUUUAGCAUGCAAGGUCUUCUGACAUACAAUUUCCAACACACAAAGUCUUAAACAAUUACUUUUUCACUAACAUUUUUCUCAUGAAGCUACUGGAAGGCAUGUCCCCUCCUCCAAAAGGGGGUAAGCUAAGAGAAUAAAAUAGAUGAGACCCAUGAAAUAGAGUCGGAAGAGAGGUGAAGGGCAUCAGCAAGAUGAUGGAGUAAGGCUCCUAGAAUGAGAGCAGUGCAGUAAGCACAUACAGAAAUGGACUACUUUGGAACAAGUCAGAAGGCUGAGAAAGAAAAAGGCAGCCCCUGGUAUCCAGGAGCAGAACUGGUACUCAUAGGUAGGCCUUGGUAUUCCCCUGUUGAACAUAAACAAUUGCCCAGAACAUCAACUUCAGACAAAGCCCCUCUGUAAUCAUGAUGGAUCAGGACAAAAACAAGGCCACUCCAUAACUGUAUUUGAACAUAGACAAAAACAUGAACAUUGUCCAAGCCACAAAAUACCAUAAAUUCCCCUUGUAUAGCUUUGUUUAACAAUCACAGUUUUGGUCUCCAUCUAAUCUUUUCUUUUUCUAGGUAAAAUUUAAGAUACUCUACCACAGAAUUACUCUCAUUUCCUGAGAACAUCCUAAUUCAGGGCAAAGUCCCAUUUCUUUAAACCGUUCCUCAAGUCACAUGACACAUAUCCUGUAAGUCCUUUCUAAUACCCUCUAUUGAGACUCCCUACAAUUCUCCAUGGCGUGUGUUCUCCCUUGCUGCAAUAUGUAAUAAACUCAGCGCAUUCAACUGCUGAUGUAUUCCUGUUAGUCUUUGGCUAGAGGUCAUUGAUGAGGCUUAGAAGAGAUUUCUUCAAGAAGAGUAAAUGAAUAGGCCAUCAAAUGUGUUUUAAUAUACUGAGAGGAGAUUUAUAUAAUUGGAGAAGAAUUUGGGAUUGAACUGAUAAGCACACCGAAAACUAUAAAAGUGUAAAAACAGGAUGUUUAUAAAUUCCU